CAAUAGCGUAUAUUAAAGUUGUUGCAGUUAAAAAGCUCGUAGUUGGAGUUCAGAGUGAGCUCAGCCGGUCCGCCUCAUGGGUGAGUACUGGUCGACUCUCUCUUGUUUGUGAAUCCCGCCCGGAGUUAAUUCUUCGGGAUGUGGAGUUCACAUCGUUUACCUUGAAAAAUUAGAGUGUUCAAAGCAGGCGUUUGCUUGAAUAUAUUAGCAUGGAAUAAUGGAAUAGGACCCUGGUUCUAUUUUGUUGGUUUUGAGAACCAGAGUAAUGAUUAAUAGGGAUAGUUGGGGGCAUUAGUAUUUAAUUGUCAGAGGUGGAAUUCUCAGAUUUGUUAAAGACUAACUUAUGCGAAAGCAUUUGCCAAGGAUGUUUUCAUUAAUCAAGAACGAAAGUUGGGGGAUCGAAGACGAUCAGAUACCAU
rnacentral:rRNA from 1 species